AGAAUUUAGAAAUUUUAAAUUUUUAUUUGUUAUGAAUUGUCAAAUAUAACUUGUAUUAAGUUUUAAAUUAUUAGUUUGUGCACCACUGAGUUCACCACUCAGCGAUAGCUUUGUAUGCUAUCGCAGGUGAAAGGAAUACUAAAGCAGCAGAGCAAGAUUUCUAAAAAGACAUAGUGAGACUAACUUCGGGUAUAUCAUAGUUGAAAAGAAUACCGGGAAAGAACCCGAGGGAUCGAGUCAAGGUCAAGAGGCGACUCGCUUAAGAUAUAGAGACUAGAGGAGCAGCAGAGUGGGCUGCUGAGGAUUGAGGAGCUACCUACUCUGAAGUUUAUCGGGUAUAUUUUUAUAUCAUGAUUGUAAAAAUUAUUUUGAUGUAUGUAAUGUAUGUAAAUGUAGAAAAUAGCCAAUGAGCAGUUGUAUAGAGUUGUAUUAAGCUUGUAAUAAAAUUUGGUUUGGAUUUUUUCUAAUGUAAAUUUUUGUAAUAAUGUAUAUAAAUUGUUUUAUCUUUAAUGAAAUAUGAA